rnacentral:rRNA from 1 species
AGCGGCAACUAAACAAGAAAACCCCGCUUGCAUAUGCGUUAACCUAACACAAGCGAAUUACAAGAAAGAUUUAAAAAAGCGGAAGGAACUCGGCAAAUCUCAGCCCCGCCUGUUUACCAAAAACAUCGCCUCUUGCCCCCAUAAGAGGUCCAGCCUGCCCAGUGAUCAAUUCAACGGCCGCGGUAUCCUGACCGUGCGAAGGUAGCGUAAUCACUUGUUCUUUAAAUAAGGACUAGUAUGAACGGCACCACGAAGGCUGCACUGUCUCCCGCCUUUAAUCAGUGAACUUAAUCUCCCCGUGAAGAAGCGGGGAUAAUCUCAUAAGACGAGAAGACCCCAUGGAGCUUUAAACAAAGGGCACCUGCUAACUAAAUUACCCAAGGCAAGCAUUUUGACCCGACGUUUUCGGUUGGGGCGACCACGGAGAACAACCCACCCUCCAUGCUGAAAGACACCCUCUAAGCCAAAAUUAACCUAUUUAAGCAUCAGCACCCUGACACCCAUUGACCCAAUAUACUUGAUCAACGAACCAAGUUACCCUGGGGAUAACAGCGCAAUCCACUUCAAGAGCCCCUAUCGACAAGUGGGUUUACGACCUCGAUGUUGG